GUGGAGUAAUAGCCUACCAAGGCAAUGAUCUAUAGCUGAUCUGAGAGGAUGAUCAGCCACACUGGAACUGAGAUACGGUCCAGACUUCUACGGGAGGCAGCAGUGGGGAAUAUUGGACAAUGGGCGAAAGCCUGAUCCAGCCAUGUCGCAUGAGUGAAGAAGGCCCUUGGGUUGUAAAGCUCUUUUAGUGAGGAAGAUAAUGACGGUACUCACAGAAGAAGUCCUGGCUAACUCCGUGCCAGCAGCCGCGGUAAUACGGAGAGGGCUAGCGUUAUUCGGAAUUAUUGGGCGUAAAGGGCGCGUAGGCUGAUUAAUAAGUUAAAAGUGAAAUCCCGAGGCUUAACCUUGGAAUUGCUUUUAAAACUAUUAAUCUAGAGAUUGAAAGAGGAUAGAGGAAUUCCUGAUGUAGAGGUAAAAUUCGUAAAUAUUAGGAGGAACACCAGUGGCGAAGGCGUCUAUCUGGUUCAAAUCUGACGCUGAGGCGCGAAGGCGUGGGGAGCAAACAGGAUUAGAUACCCUGGUAGUCCACGCUGUAAACGAUGAAUGUUAAAUAUGGGAAGUUUACUUU
rnacentral:rRNA from 1 species